rnacentral:rRNA from 1 species
GAUGAACGCUGGCGGCGUGCCUAAUACAUGCAAGUCGAGCGAACAGACGAGGAGCUUGCUCCUCUGACGUUAGCGGCGGACGGGUGAGUAACACGUGGAUAACCUACCUAUAAGACUGGGAUAACUUCGGGAAACCGAAGAUAAUACCGGAUAAUAUAUUGAACCGCAUGGUUCAAUAGUGAAAGCCGGUUUUGCUGACACUUAUAGAUGGAUCCGCGCCGCAUUAGCUAGUUGGUAAGGUAACGGCUUACCAAGGCAACGAUGCGUAGCCGACCUGAGAGGGUGAUCGGCCACACUGGAACUGAGACACGGUCCAGACUCCUACGGGAGGCAGCAGUAGGGAAUCUUCCGCAAUGGGCGAAAGCCUGACGGAGCAACGCCGCGUGAGUGAUGAAGGUCUUCGGAUCGUAAAACUCUGUUAUUUGGGAAGAACAAAUGUGUAAGUAACUAUGCACGUCUUGACGGUACCUAAUCAGAAAGCCACGGCUAACUUCGUG